UGGGGAAUUUUGGACAAUGGGCGAAAGCCUGAUCCAGCAAUGCCGCGUGUGUGAAGAAGGCCUUCGGGUUGUAAAGCACUUUUGUCCGGAAAGAAAUCCUUGGCUCUAAUACAGUCGGGGGAUGACGGUACCGGAAGAAUAAGCACCGGCUAACUACGUGCCAGCAGCCGCGGUAAUACGUAGGGUGCAAGCGUUAAUCGGAAUUACUGGGCGUAAAGCGUGCGCAGGCGGUUUGCUAAGACCGAUGUGAAAUCCCCGGGCUCAACCUGGGAACUGCAUUGGUGACUGGCAGGCUAGAGUAUGGCAGAGGGGGGUAGAAUUCCACGUGUAGCAGUGAAAUGCGUAGAGAUGUGGAGGAAUACCGAUGGCGAAGGCAGCCCCCAUGGGCCAAUACUGACGCUCAUGCACGAAAGCGUGGGGAGCAAACAGGAUUAGAUACCCUGGUAGUCCACGCCCUAAACGAUGUCAACUAGUUGUUGGGGAUUCAUUUCCUUAGUAACGUAGCUAACGCGUGAAGUUGACCGCCUGGGGAGUACGGUCGCAAGAUUAAAACUCAAAGGAAUUGACGGGGUCAUA
rnacentral:rRNA from 1 species